GACGAACGCUGGCGGCGUGCUUAACACAUGCAAGUCGAACGGAAAGGCCCUGCUUUUGUGGGGUGCUCGAGUGGCGAACGGGUGAGUAACACGUGAGUAACCUGCCCUUGACUUUGGGAUAACUUCAGGAAACUGGGGCUAACACCGGAUAGGAGCUCCUGCUGCAUGGUGGGGGUUGGAAAGUUUCGGCGGUUGGGGAGGGACUCGCGGCUUAUCAGCUUGUUGGUGGGGUAGUGGCUUACCAAGGCUUUGACGGGUAGCCGGCCUGAGAGGGUGACCGGCCACAUUGGGACUGAGAUACGGCCCAGACUCCUACGGGAGGCAGCAGUGGGGAAUAUUGCACAAUGGGCGGAAGCCUGAUGCAGCAACGCCGCGUGCGGGAUGACGGCCUUCGGGUUGUAAACCGCUUUCGCCUGUGACGAAGCGUGAGUGACGGUAAUGGGUAAAGAAGCACCGGCUAACUACGUG
rnacentral:rRNA from 1 species